AAUGGGCACUGAACACCCAAGAUUCCCAUGGCGGGGGGCUAGCCAGAAAUAUAGAACAGACUUCAACAACUUGGGGCCUUAGACAUGGAUGCCAAGGAAGAGGCAUUUCCUGUAAAUCCCUCAUCUGUAUCCUCAAAUAACUUGAAACUAUCCUGGCACUGGCAGGCACGAGGCUGAAUCCAACGGGCUCCUUGCGUUUGUCCAUUCACUCUGCUCACCCCAACUUCCAGCACCACCAUGUAUAUGGCUCAGAAAGCAGAGGGGAGACUCAAAGUUGAAAAAGAUAAAUUUCAAACAGCUGCAACAGAGGUGACCCCGGACCACAUAGGCAGAAACCUGAAAUGACCUGAGGUUUGGGAGUAAGACAGCAAAAGUGGUAGCAGAAUCUCAGUUAAGUCCAGCACAAAUAUUUCAGAACUGCUAUUGCUCCCUUGUAGUCUUCUCUGAAGUUCAACAAUGGAAAGAAAAGGAUGGGGGUGUGCAUGUAUUGAAAACAUCACCCAAACCCGUAUUUUAAAUGUUCAAGAUGAUUUUCUUCUAUACUACCCUCAAGAGUUUUCAUCUUUUAAGAUUCUUA